rnacentral:rRNA from 1 species
UUGCUCCGCGAGGGGAGCGGCCCGCGUCCCAUCAGCUUGUAGGCGGUGUAACGGACCACCUAGGCAAUGACGGGUACCCGGCCUGAGAGGGCGGACGGGCACAUUGGGACUGAGAUACGGCCCAGACUCCUACGGGAGGCAGCAGCUAAGAAUAUUCCGCAAUGGGCGAAAGCCUGACGGAGCGACGCCGCGUGGACGAUGAAGGCCGGAAGGUUGCAGAGUCCUUUGGCGCGCGAGGAAGGAGGGGAGGAGUGGAAAGCCUCCCGGUGACUGUAGCGCGAGAACAAGCACCGGCUAAUUACGUGCC